UACGUAGGGUGCAAGCGUUGUCCGGAAUUAUUGGGCGUAAAGAGCUCGUAGGCGGUUUGUCGCGUCGAAUGUGAAAUCCCGGGGCUCAACCCCGGGUCUGCAUUCGAUACGGGCAGACUAGAGUUCGGUAGGGGAGUCUGGAAUUCCUGGUGUAGCGGUGAAAUGCGCAGAUAUCAGGAGGAACACCGGUGGCGAAGGCGCCACUCUGGGCCGAAACUGACGCUGAGGAGCGAAAGCGUGGGUAGCAAACAGG
rnacentral:rRNA from 1 species